UAGCUGUGGGAGGAGAGUGAAGAGAGUGGGCUUCAGGGAGCAGAGAGGCAACUCUGCUUCUCCCAAGGUACUCUGUCCAUGGGAGCAAGAGUCCCAAGUAGGCUGCCUUCGACCCAGACCCCCAGGUACUCAAAGGAAGGCUCUGAGCUUGGAUGGGGACAAGCUCUGGCUCUUCCUUUGCAGGGCUCCCCUACUAGGCUGCCAACCAAGUGGUACCUCUUUCCUUCUUUCUUUUUUUUUUUUUUUUUUGAGACAGAGUCUCACUCUGUCACCCAGGCUGGAGUGCAGUGGCGUGAUCUCGGCUCACUGCAACUUCCAUCUACCGGGUUCACACCAUUCUCCUGCCUCAGCCUCCCGAGUAGCUGGGACUACAGGCACGCACCACCAAGCCCAGCUAAUUUUUGUGUUUUUAGUAGAGAUGGGGUUUCACCAUGUUGGCUAGGAUGGUCUCAAUCUCUUGACCUUGUGAUCUGCCCGCCUUGGCCUCCCAAAGUGCUGGGAUUACAGGCGUGAGCCACCGCGCCCGGCCCCAAGUGGUACAUCUUUUCCACUAAUUUUGUGCCUCUAGGCCAUCUCCUAGGCUAAAUGGCCAGGAGGAGGCUACUGGGCCAUAGGGCCUGCCUCAAGUCAGGGUCCAAGCAGGACCAUAGCUUACACCAGGUGGUUCAACAAAGGGAAUUACUUCAGAGAAACAGUUACAAAGGUGUUGGAAGAGUUCAAAGAGCAAGCAAAGAAUAGUGAGACAACUCAGAGAUUAGCAUGGUCCAUGCCUACAAGGGCGCUUCCAGAUGGUGAACAAAUAAACAGCUGCUGAGCAUCAAGGAAGGGAAGACUGAGUAGUCACUUUUUCAGUUCUGCUGACGGAUCCUCACAACAUCCCUGUCAUGUGGGUAUUACUGUCCCCAUUUUAAGAAGUCAGAGGCUCAAGGAAGUUAGGGAACAUGUCCAGGACCAUUCUACGUAAGUGGAGGAACCAGGUGAUUGGAACCCAUGCCCUUUGUGCAAAAGGCUGCCAACCUGCCACCAGGGGGCAUCUUGGCUGUCCUGGGAGAGAGAAUGCUGGAGCCGGCUUUGGGACAGACCUGAAGUUGUGCUGAAGUCCCUGUGGCUCCUGGAGGGCAGGGACAGGAAAGGCUUCACUUUGGCCCUUCACUUCCUACGCUGCCCCUUUCUCCCACACAAGUGGGCUCACGGCCACUCCUCUAUGCCUGCUGCCAUUCAUCGCACAGUGAACUGCAAACCACACACUCCGAAGAGGCACUCAAGGUGCUCAGGGCGGGGCGCAGCUGAGGACAAUAGAACCUUUCUCCAAGCUGGGCUUGGGCUUCUCCUGAUGGGGCGCUGGCUGAGGCAGAGACUGAGCCCGGUUCACCCAGGGCUGCCAGCACCCCAGGAGCACUGCACCACUGGGUUGACAGGCGAUGACAGGAGGUGGCUCCAGGGCCUGCAGCAUGGGGAGAGGCCACUCUUGCCUUUCCCUAAAUCUCAGUCUAGGCUUUGAUUCUGAGCCAGACCAGGGCUGUAGGAGCCAGCUGGGCUGGGAGGCCGUGGGGUGACUGGCCUGCUCUGGGUUAGAGCAACUGGGAAUGGUGACCCCUAGCAAGGCAGAGAUGAAGAAAGGAACCUCUUCACCUCGGAGACCCCUUCUGCAUGUUCCUUCCACCUUGCUAUUCCCUCUGAGGUACCUCCCAAUGGCUCCUACUGUCUCAUCUGGGGUCUUCAGCUCCCACCUUGUUCUAUUCAUGCCCUCAGCUCCUUUACAACCUCCUUUGCGUCUCUGCCUGCUUGUGGGAUAACCACCAUCUCAGAUCAUCCAAUUACCACCACUGGACUAUUCAUAUCUGGAGCUCUUUGUUGUUUUUGUCUUUCCAGCUCCAGUAAGCACCUGGCAUACAGUAGGCACUAGACAAAUGUUUCUCCUUGAUCAUCGCCUAUCUCCCCUUGGAGCCCUUCACCCCUAGUCCUCCUUCUGCCAGGAAGUAGAGAAAAUAAAUCCACUCACCCCUACCCGCCCAAGCUGCUUCCUCCCAGGCCAACUGGCACCCACAGCCCCACCCCUUGACCAAGGCGGCUCUGUGGUCAGCCCACCUUCGGUGAUUCUGUCAGUCGGCAGCCAGCAUCACACUCUUGUGGCAGCUGCUUAACAGUGUCUGACUCAACCAACACGUUAUCCAUAAACCUUGCGAUGGCUCUCCAGUGCUUCAGGAAAAAGUCUGCAGUUGAAGAGAUUUGAAAGCUUCCACUUUCCUCUUUAGUUUCUCUCUACUCACCUUGGAUCACUUUGUUACCAGAAAGCUGCAUGUUCUUUCUACUUCAAAGGCUUUCCCUCUGCCUGGAUCACUUUCCCCUUCCUCCUCAAGAGCUAACUCUUAUAGAUUAUUUCUUCAGAAAGCCUUUCCAUACACCUCCCAGGCCUGUUAGGUGUCUCUGUGCUGGGCUAUUAUCACACUGCAUGGUAAAUGUUUGUUUUGUUCCAUGUCUUCCUGCAGACUGUGAGCUUCCUGAGGGCAGGAACCAUGUUUACUUUCAAAUUCCUGACAGUGUUAACUCCAUUCACAUAAAACAGGAAGAAUGGACAAAGGAAGUACUUUUCCUUGUUCAUUCAGGAGAGGAAGCACAAAUCUGGAUUGGGUGGGAUCAUAUGAGGGGACAGUCUUUCCAAGUGAAGCUGUGUCACCAGAAGCUGCUUGGUCAGCAGAGGUGCCUGAUCCAACCCCCGAUAGUCUCCCCACCCCUAAUCCUCCACUCCAUAGAGCCCCUUCGGCCUCUCCCUCACCAAGCCUGCAGGCAGCACCCUUCUUACCCAAGUCCUGGGCCCAUGCCCAGAGCUGCGACCCCUCCGAGGCUGGCGUGGGCCUCCUCAGCUCUAGCCUGCAGUGCCCAUGGGCACCCAGGUGGCAACUCUGUGGGCAGCUCAAUGGCUCCUCUGUUCCAUUCCUGGCUCCACACCCAGCUCCAGGAAGCCCCGGCCCCACGCCCUGGGCUGGGAUGCCCAAAGGAGCCGCCCACAGGGCUGGGAGUUGGGAGCAGCAGCAGAGAUGCCAGUUGGGAAGGAUGGCAGGACAGGCACCCACCCUGGGCAUAGAAGUUCCUGGGCAGAACCCAGGCCUGCUUUCCUGUGGCUUCUAGGUCCCCAGGAUAGACUGCUUAGUGGAGGAAGCUGCUCCUAUAGGCUUCCGACCCCUUUGACCUACCCUAAUUUGUUAUUUUGUUUAUGGUCCCUUUGCCCCACUCUGAUGUGCUCACUACUGUAUCCUGCAUCAAUCUCAGGGCUGGCACACAGUAGGUACUCAAUGUAUACUAAGGGACGCUCAACAGGCGUCCUCUCCAGACUCCAUCCUCUGGAGUGACAUCACCUUUCAGAUCCCCAUUCACCUUGACCUCUAAUGGCUGCAGGAUCAGGCUCUCAGCAGAUCUACAUCUGAAUAGAAAUCAAAGACUCUGGCGCAAAGGCCAAAGGGAGGAAUUGUCCGCAAAGGACCUUUGGGGAAGACACCUAAAACCACGGCGGAGGGGUGAAAUUAAAGACUUUCAAAACUUAAAAAUAAAUAAAUAAAUAAAAAAUAAAACCACGGCUGGUAUUUAGGCACAUUCUCUGAUAUAGCCAGAAUGCUGCUGAAAUGCUGAAAGAUUUCCAAACUAGUAAAGUAGCUACUACCCAGAGGAUCCCAUCCCUCUCCUUCCUGCCACCCAGCAGGGUGCCUCCAGGACUCUGCUAUAUUGUGUCUGUUCCAAUUGGGCAUUACCCCUCCCAGAGCAGCUGUCAUACUUUGAAUCUCCUUCCUGCUCAAGCCUCUCCUGUGGUAGCUAGCAGGCCUGCCAUCUGGUUCCUCUUCCACUCUGCAAUUGGGCCAUGCAACACAUCCCUGACCCCCACCACGGGGCUCCAGAGGGUGUGGAUCCAGGAGGAGCAAGAGGGGCACACGUUACAAUGUGUGCCUUGCUCUGGAAGGUCCCCAAAGUCUCCCACUGCCCCUUUCCUCUGUUUCUUUAGUUUACAUUGAGUGUCUGGAAACCUCUUUUUAUGUGUAGACCUCUGUCUUUUUAUCUGUAGAAAAAGGAUGGUAAUAGUACCCAUAUCAUAGGGUUGGGAAGAGGAAAAUGAAUUUGUAAAAGUUCUUAGCCCAGAGGCUGGCAUGGAGUCAGUGCUGAAUAAAUGUUAGCUCUGAGGAUAAUCUUUUCUAUUCAGGUAUUAAGGCCUCAGAGUUUAGAUGCUUGUCCAGGGUAUGCAGCUUGUCAGCAGCAGAGACAAGAUAGGGACCCUGGCCUCCUGACUUGUAGUAUGUUAUCAUAGAUUUUUCAAACAUUUGGAAAAUGCAGCAUCUUCUCUCCUCUAUUUGUAGAUUUAAAAUACACUUUAAAUCUAAGGAGUCCUGCAGCAAAGAAAUCAGUCUACUUUUGUUUAAUUCUGUAAUUUCCCAAAAAUAUUUAACCAUGGAAGCCCUUUGUCACUGAAAACCUAUUAACCUGUCACAGUUUGGGAAAUGGUACAUUACUUACCUUCCUCGAGAUCAAACUUUUUAUACCCAUUGUUCCUGCUUAUUGGAAUGUCCUUCUCCUAUUUUAUCUGAGAAAUCCCUUGACAUAAAACAAAUGUCUUUCCCUUUUCUAAUUACAAGAACAAUGCCAUGUUCAUAAAACAGUUAAACAUUACAGACAUGCAGUAGAUCCUAGCAACCCUCAUAAGACCCUUGGGUGUGUCUGGUGUCACCUUGGGAUUGGGUAGCAAGUGGUGGUCCCCAGCAUUCAGGAAGUAGUAAACUCAGUACAGAACACACCCCUCAUUCCUUCCCUAAGAGUCUGCUUCCUCUUGUUCAUUAGCAAAUGCUUAGUGAAUACCUCUUCUCUGCCAGGCACCUGCUGGUAGGUGCUGAGGGUCCAGGCAUUGGGCUCACUCUACCACCUGCUGGCUGAGAAACCGUGCAAGUGUGACUCAGCAUUCCUGUGCUCUGGUUUCCCCAUUUAUAAUCUGGGGAUAGUAGUAGAAUCUUCCUCACAGGAUUGUUUUAAGGAUCAGUUGGUCUAACACAUGUCAGCUGCUUCAAAAUGGUAUCAGGCACAAGGUAGGUGCCUAGUAAAUGUUAGCCACUAUAUUAUUAAAGACAAAAAGACCAAAUUUCUGAGUCCUUCUGGAGGAGGCCCACAGUGAUAGACCUAAAAUAAGCUCCAAGUUGUGAAGCCCUAAGGCUAGGCACCAGGCUCUGGGGGCACCCACAGGCCCACCGUAUGCAGGGUUUGGGCCCCACUUUUGCUCUCACAUAAUAUGUUGACUCUGUGGUGAGGGCUAAUGGAGUGGGCAGCAGGUAUCCUCCAAGUCCUGGGCCCCAGCCAGGGCUUGUUCAGCCUAGCCAGUAGCUCCCACCCAUGGUCCUCAGGGUCCCAGCUGUUCCUGGCUCCCAAGAGGCAAAGUGCCAGAGCUGAGUUGUCAUUGAGUCACUCACUGGCCAAGGUAAGAAGCACAGAUGUCUUCCAGACAGAGUUGGUGCCACAAUGUGGGGUGACAGCACUGGGUAGAGUGGACAGGCCUGCCAUCCAAUCCCCCAGUAGCUGCAGGCCUCAGCCAUCCUCAAAGCAGCAACGGCAGCACAGAUGGCCAGCCUGGGCCACAGAGGCUUAAGAGGUUUAACUAGUCUACAAAAGUUCCUUCACCUGGACUCCUACCUUCUCCUCCCUCCCUUCCCCAGACUCUCCUCCUCCCUCUAUCUCCAUCUGCAACAUAAGCAGACUGGAUCUACAGACUCUGUGGAAGUCUUAAGAAGAAACAUUAAAGCAAACAAACAAACCCCAAAAAGGCAAGUAUGAGGUCUUCCAGGUGCUGUGUCCCUUUCAGCGCCUAAUGACAUACACUUAAUGAACACUGGCUAAGAGAUGGUCUUACAUUGACUGGCAGCCCCUACCAAUCCUCCUAACCUCAGGGCAGGAAUAUUUUGUUCAACUUUAGAUGCCCUGACUGUAUCCCUCACUUUACUCUUCCUAUCUCUGUCUGUUUACUCCUUUCCAAAUCUGUGCCUGGAGGACCCAAGUCCUGUGGAUAUCAUCUAUGAAGUACAUCUAUUUUUUAAAGUUCUUAAUAUUUUGGGGCCUGUGAAACCCUACGAGAAUCUAAGAGCUAUACCUUUCCCCAGAAAAAUAGGAAAUAUCUGCACACAAUUUCUGGCGGUUCAUGAAGCCCAGGAACCUCUCCAUGAGCUAAGAAGAGCCCUGGUUGUAAUCCAGGGUGCCUGACUGUCUCAUUGUCCGUGUUACCUCUCCACCCAACCCCAAACACGUAUCUUGGCAUGAGGGAGGCAAAGGACACACUGCACAGAUGGUCACAGGCAGCUGAGAGCUUUGUCCAAUCAGAGCCCUGUUCCCAUAUCCAUCCCCUUCCCUAAUUACACCAGGUUUUUCCUGCUAAAGGUCUGAGAAAAGGGAGCAAAGCAAGGGGCCCAGCUCUCUAGCCCCCACUGCCAGAGCAUGGCCUGGGGGCCAGACGAGGGCCCAGCACCGUGAAGCUCUUCCUCUGGCCAGAUGGCAAGGCCCUGCCUGCCCGUUGCAGGGCGCGGCUCCUGCUGCUCCCACACCUGCCCUGCCAGGCCUGCCCAGAUGGCCACCCCUGCACCCCUGCCAACUACGGCAGUGGGUCCCAGGGUGGGCUGGCAGCCAGAACCCCACAUGGGGAGAAGGCUAAUGGUCCUGAACCCCCUGGGCCUCUCGGUACUGUCGAGGACCUGGUUCUCUCCUGCCCCCAUACUAACUGGGUUUCUGCUCAAUCCCUCUGGCUUGUCAUAGAAACACCUCCACCCAUUUCAUCAAAUCUCAUGACCCAUCCCUUCUCAGAGGGUUCUGACUCCCCCAGCCCCAGCCACUGGGCUCCAGAGGAGAGAAUAGGCCAGCACAAAGCACAUCCCUGUUCCCAGGCCUCAUCACAUGUCAGGAGGAGACCUCAAAGCAAGCCAGAAGGCCUGAGAGAAGGAGGAACAGAAAACAGGGAGAAAGCGGCCACAUAGUACAUAAACACCAGCUCCACUGGGCCACAGGGGCAUGCGCCAGCUCACAUCCAGGAGCAGCAUCUCUUAGGUUUAGGGUAAGGGACUCAGGUACCUUGUUUGAGCUUUUCCUAGGGGAAGACUCAGACCCCAAACUCUGCUCCUAAAGGGGUGGGGAGCUGCUCUCUCUAAAUGGUGGGAGGCCCCAGGUCAGGGCCCAGAGAGAUAGCAUCCCUGCCCCGGGCCAACUCAGAUGGCAUCCUGGGUCUUUCUCAUCACACCCAUUAAAGAAACCACAGAUUGUAUGGCUCCUGGGAGAGCCUGCUGGAUUUCAUUCCUGUCCCUGUAGCUGACAAAGGAGUCAGACAUCUCUUGGCCCCUAAGUCUGAACAGCACACAGAUCACAGAGCUGACCCAAGCUGAGGCAUGGAGGCCCUUGGCAAGAAGAGGCUGUGAGUCUCUGCAUAGAACUGUGUGGGUGCACCCCUUCCUUGGGGGUGUCUGGGAAAAUGUGCAAGGGAAGCUGUGGCUAGGGGAGUCUCCGACCCUCACGCCACCCUGAUAAUGGACAGUCACCAUUCAGGACAUAUUUAUGUACCCUUUUUUAUGUCAAGCAUUGUGUCAGGCACUUGGGAGACACAAGAAGACAUGGUCUGUGUCCUGGAGGAGCCCAUGGCUUGGUGGGCAGCCUGUUAGGGCAUCCAAGCCACUGUAGAGAGGAGAAGGGCCAAAGACAGCUCAGGCCCAUGUUGCCUGUGCCAAACAGGCAGUGGUUAGAGAGGAGGAGACUGACUGGUCAGUGGGAAGAACAGGGCCUAUCCCUCUCCUCUGUCUCACUGUCACUACCUCCAUCACAUCACACAAUAGCAGGGGACAAGAAGCAGACGAGCACAGCCUUGGAGAAGUGCCCUUGAACCUUCCUCUGCAGAAUAAGUAUCCUGGCCCAGGAUGGGCAGCCAUGCCCCAUGGCAAAAACUAGGGGAAAAAUAAUUUGCAUUCCUGAGGCUUCUGCUCUGACCCUGACAGAUCUCUCUCAUCCAGGAAAUCUGGCGGAACGGCGCUCUCUCAGCUAAAAAGCCUCAAUCCUGGAGCCAACGGAUUCGGAAAGCAACUUUGCACUCCAAUCAAAUAAAAAUGUUCUUCUCUGCUGAGGAGAAGGGGGCAGGCCCCAGAACUGAGCUCUCGGGCUCGGAAGAGUGUACGCGGGCUUCCAGCCGGUAUGCACAGGCAAGAAGUGAAGUGGGCAGCCCUGGGGCAGAGGAUGCGACUACUGGACUGAGGUUGAAUCCUUUACGUGUCGCCACGCGGUCCCCUGUGGGGAGCGCAUCCAUCCCCAUCUGUUCUUUUCCCCAGCUCCCAGCUCGUGCGAGACGCAAAGAGGGGAGCCCCCAGACUCCUGACUCUAGGGAGCCUUACGCCUCUCCUCUUCCCUCUCCCAGGAUCUCGCAACUGGGAAACUAUAAUCUAGGAGGAAAAUCUAGGCGGGCAAGAAAAGGGGCUAGGUUCUGUAAGAUGUGUCUGUAAGCCUCCUCCUCCCGUGCUACCUUGGGAGCCCCACAACCUCCUCCCAUCCAACCGUACGCACUGCACAUACCCGAACCUACGUUACUUCCCGAUCCAGGCAAACACAUCUCACAUCACAUACAAACAACUCCCUAGAGACGCCCACUUCUCCCGUGUCGUUUUCACACACGCCCUUCUCACACGCAAACAGCCCUCGCUCAAACAUCCCCCACCCACGGGAGCACCUGCUCCAAACGGGCCCACAUGGCCCUGACGAUAGCAUGCGCACGCACGCAGAAAUCCCUUCCAGCCACAUCCCGGGCUUCAUUGUCAAUCAGAUUAGUAACAGAAUGGAAACAGACAAGUCAAUAAAUCAAGUCUAGAAACA